UGAGUAACCUGCCCUUAACUCUGGGAUAAGCCUGGGAAACUGGGUCUAAUACCGGAUAUGACUCCUCAUCGCAUGGUGGGGGGUGGAAAGCUUUUUUGUGGUUUUGGAUGGACUCGCGGCCUAUCAGCUUGUUGGUGGGGUGAUGGCCUACCAAGGCGACGACGGGUAGCCGGCCUGAGAGGGCGACCGGCCACACUGGGACUGAGACACGGCCCAGACUCCUACGGGAGGCAG
rnacentral:rRNA from 1 species